rnacentral:snRNA from 1 species
AAUAAGCGGAGGAAAAGA